UAAUACCGCAUAAAAUCUUUGGAGGGCAUCCUCUGAAGAUCAAAGGAGAAAUCCGCUCAUGGAUGGACCCGCGUCUGAUUAGCUAGUUGGUGGGGUAAAGGCUUACCAAGGCGACGAUCAGUAGCCGGCCUGAGAGGGUGACCGGCCACACUGGGACUGAGACACGGCCCAGACUCCUACGGGAGGCAGCAGUGGGGAAUCUUCCGCAAUGGGCGAAAGCCUGACGGAGCAACGCCGCGUGAAUGACGAAGGCCUUCGGGUUGUAAAAUUCUGUCUUGAGGGACGAAAAAAAAGACGGU
rnacentral:rRNA from 1 species